rnacentral:tRNA from 1 species
CCUGGUGGCUUAGAGGUUAAAGCGUCUGCCUGCAAUGUGGGAGACCUGGGUUCGAUCCCUGGGUCAGGA